rnacentral:rRNA from 1 species
GGGUGCGUAACACGUAGGUGACCUGCCUCUUUGUUUGGGACAACCCGGAGAAAUUCGGGCUAAUACCGAAUAAGCAGUUUUGAUUUGAAUAAGAAACUGGAAAGUAUGCCUCUACUUGUAAGCAUACACGAAGAGAUGGGCCUGCGGAGCAUUAGCUUGUUGGUGGGGUAAUGGCCUACCAAGGCUACGAUGCUUAGCCGGAUUAAGAGAUUGUCCGGCCACACUGGAACUGAGACACGGUCCAGACUCCUACGGGAGGCAGCAGUGGGGAAUCUUGCGCAAUGGAGGAAACUCUGACGCAGUGAUACCGCGUGAGUGAGGAAGGCCUUCGGGUUGUAAAGCUCUGUCAAAAUGGAAAAAUGGUGCUAUGUCGAACAGGCAUAGCAAUUGAUGGUACAUUGAGAGGAAACACCGGCUAACUUCGUGCCAGCAGCCGCGGUAAUACGAAGGGUGUAAGCGUUGUUCGGAUUUAUUGGGCGUAAAGCGCGCGCAGGCGGAUAAUCAAGUCAGAUGUGAAAUCUCGGGGCUCAACUUCGAAACAGCGUCUGAAACUAAUUAUCUAGAGUCUUGGCAGGGGAGGGGGAAUUUCACAUGUAGGGGUAAAAUCCGUAGAGAUGUGAAGGAACACCAGAGGCGAAGGCGCCCUCCUGGACAAGUACUGACGCUGAGGCGCGAAAGCGUAGGGAGCAAACAGGAUUAGAUACCCUGGUAGUCCACGCCGUAAACGAUGAGCACUAGAUAUUGCGGGUCUUGACCCCCGCAGUGUCGUAGCAAACGCAUUAAGUGCUCCGCCUGGGAAGUACGGUCGCAAGAUUAAAACUCAAAGGAAUUGACGGGGGCCCGCACAAGCGGUGGAUUAUGUGGUUUAAUUCGAAGCAACGCGCAGAACCUUACCUGGGCUUGAAGUCCCACGAACCUGGCCCAAAAGCUAGGGUGCACUUCGGUGAACGUGGUGAUAGGCGCUGCAUGGCUGUCGUCAGCUCGUGUCGUGAGAUGUUGGGUUAAGUCUCGCAACGAGCGCAACCCCUAUUUUUAGUUGCCAGCAUUAAGUUGGGCACUCUAGAAAGACUGCCUGGGUUAACCAGGAGGAAGGUGGGGAUGACGUCAAGUCCUCAUGGCCCUUAUGUCCAGGGCUACACACGUAAUACAAUGGUACAUACAAAGGGAAGCGAACCUGUGAGGGGGAGCUAAUCUCAAAAAGUGUAUCUCAGUCCGGAUUGAAGUCUGCAACUCGACUUCAUGAAGUUGGAAUCGCUAGUAAUCGCGGAUCAGCACGCCGCGGUGAAU